GUUUAUCUCUUUUCUUUCAAACCUUAAUACUGAUCCCCUUUUCUCUGUCCAUCGAUCUGCACAGUUGUCCCAGUUCUAGACCAGUUGAUUGGAGAAGGAAAAUAUGUUGAUCAACCAGAGAUUUCUUUAAGCUAAAUAAACACCUCUGAAAUUUGGUCGUUACAAGCAUGUUGUCCAGUUUCAGCAAGUGAUGCAACCAAUGCUGCUGUUAAUAUGUGUCAGCAACGUGCACAGGCUUCGCAAUCUUGGUGUUGCCGGUUUUAUCAUCUUAUUUUAAGCAGCCUCUGUUUACAUUCCAGCACAAGCUUAAUGGUUUACAAAAUGGCUAUAUAAAAGAAAAGAAAAGAUUAGAUCAUAUGAGUCGCUGUGGUUUUGGGCCAAUAAAGAGAACUUUGAGGUGAUUAUAUCCAACUGCAAGCAAGAAUUAGUAUUUGCAAUUCCCAAGUUGAGGAAUAUCAACAAAACAGUUGCUUUAAAAGAAUUUACAAAAUUUUAACAUUAGAGGUUGAGGAAUAUGAAUCAAUGAAUGUCCUUAUGGUUGAUUUAGCACCACAGAAUAUAGAUAGUGUGAAGGAGAUUAUGCAACCCCAACUCUAAUACUGAAUAUGGUGUUGGAAAGACUUUUUUCCUCCUAAACGCAACCUUGAGGUGUAUGACUUAAUCAGAAGAUUCCUCAUCUCUAUCUUUAAAAAAAGUAAGUAAAACUAAUGAUGAAGAGAAGGAUAAUCAGAAGCAAAAACUUUUGAUUCGUAAAUUUAAGAUGUAAUUACUAUAUUUUAAAUUUUACAUACAUUUUAUUUGAACUUGUGGUUUGCUUUCAUCUACGUUCCAUGUUUGGUUAAUAUAUAAUUUUAAUUACUUAUAUUUU
rnacentral:lncRNA from 1 species